GCCCUACGGGACGCAGCAGCCGCGGUAAUACGUAGGUGGCAAGCGUUGUCCGGAUUUACUGGGUGUAAAGGGCGUGUAGCCGGGUUGACAAGUCAGAUGUGAAAUCCUGCGGCUUAACCGCAGAACUGCAUUUGAAACUGUUGAUCUUGAGUACUGGAGAGGCAGACGGAAUUCCUAGUGUAGCGGUGAAAUGCGUAGAUAUUAGGAGGAACACCAGUGGCGAAGGCGGUCUGCUGGACAGCAACUGACGGUGAGGCGCGAAAGCGUGGGGAGCAAACAGGAUUAGAAACCCGAGUAGUCCAGAU
rnacentral:rRNA from 1 species